AUUGAACGCUGGCGGCAGGCUUAACACAUGCAAGUCGAGCGGAGAGAGGUAGCUUGCUACUGAUCUUAGCGGCGGACGGGUGAGUAAUGCUUAGGAAUCUGCCUAUUAGUGGGGGACAACAUUUCGAAAGGAAUGCUAAUACCGCAUACGUCCUACGGGAGAAAGCAGGGGAUCUUCGGACCUUGCGCUAAUAGAUGAGCCUAAGUCGGAUUAGCUAGUUGGUGGGGUAAAGGCCUACCAAGGCGACGAUCUGUAGCGGGUCUGAGAGGAUGAUCCGCCACACUGGGACUGAGACACGGCCCAGACUCCUACGGGAGGCAGCAGUGGGGAAUAUUGGACAAUGGGCGCAAGCCUGAUCCAGCCAUGCCGCGUGUGUGAAGAAGGCCUUAUGGUUGUAAAGCACUUUAAGCGAGGAGGAGGCUACUUUAGAUAAUACCUAGAGAUAGUGACAUUACUCGCAGAAUAAGCACCGACUAACUCUGUGCCAGCCGCCGCGGUAA
rnacentral:rRNA from 1 species